rnacentral:lncRNA from 1 species
CACAGACUUAAGAUUUACAGCACUAUAAUGUGAUUUAUAGUUUAUCUGUUCACCAAGAUUUAUAUUCUAGAGCUAUUGGUUUGAGACUAAACAUGCAUGGCUAAUUUAGUAAGAACUGGCUAGCUGAGUGUUUGGAGAAUGAGUCAUUCUAGAUAUCCCAGUUUUCUGUAGAGCUUAAACCUCUUUAAGCAUUAAAAUUUUUUAGAAGAAUUUCUGAAGGAAAUCUUUUUAAAACUUAGUAUGCAUUCCUAAACAAUAUAUGAAAGACAUUUUAAUCUUUUUCAAUGUCAAAAUGAUCAUUAUUAGCAUUAGUUGUUAUACUGUGAUAGACUUACACCCUGAGGACUGUAUACCCCUUUACCUGAAUGGCUCCAUUCUCUGCCCUGUGUUUUCAGUUUCUUGUUUUCUAAUAGUUCUGAUUCCUCCAAUUUAUUUUACUGCUUGCUUAAGUGUGCCUGUAGCACUAGCCUUUCUCCACCUUCAUAAUACUCUUUUUUUUUUUAAGAUUUCAUUUUUUCCUUUUUCUCCCCAAAGCCCCCCAGUACAUAGUUGUAUAUUUCUCGCUGUGGGUUCUUCCAGUUGUGGCAUGUGGGACGCCGCCUCAGCGUGGUCUGAUGAGCAAUGCCAUGUCCGCGCCCAGGAUUCGAACCAACGAAACACUGGGCCGCCUGCAGCGGAGCGCGCGAACGUAACCACUCGGCCACGGGGCCAGCCCCGACCUUCAUAAUACUCUUAGUCAGCUUUGGUUUUGGAACCCAGAUGACCAAGACAGCUAGAGUAAUGUAUAAAGUAAGAGUACGUUGACUCUGAAGACCUGAAGUACUGGAUUAGACUUAAGUGCGUGGAUUUUGUGACCUCUUGCUACUGUUUCAUUGCUAUCUUUAAAAAAAGUGGUUACUAGAUUAGAUAUCUGCUCUCAAAAGAGCUAUUAUUGUACAAAAAGAACCAUUUUGUUUCUAUACUUUACCUUCUCUAUAUUUCUGCCCUCUAAUUUUUUGGCUCUGAUUAAAAUCAGUCCAUUUGAAUUAGAAUUUUCUAUAGUACUUUCUAUUUGAAUUGGAU